rnacentral:rRNA from 1 species
UUGACCUCGGAUCAGGUAGGGAUACCCGCUGAACUUAAGCAUAUCAAUAAGCGGAGGAAAAGAAACCAACAGGGAUUGCCCUAGUAACGGCGAGUGAAGCGGCAACAGCUCAAAUUUGAAAUCUGGCGUCUUCGGCGUCCGAGUUGUAAUUUGCAGAGGGCGCUUUGGCAUUGGCAGCGGUCCAAGUUCCUUGGAACAGGACGUCACAGAGGGUGAGAAUCCCGUACGUGGUCGCUAGCCUUUACCGUGUAAAGCCCCUUCGACGAGUCGAGUUGUUUGGGAAUGCAGCUCUAAAUGGGAGGUAAAUUUCUUCUAAAGCUAAAUACUGGCCAGAGACCGAUAGCGCACAAGUAGAGUGAUCGAAAGAUGAAAAGCACUUUGGAAAGAGAGUUAAAAAGCACGUGAAAUUGUUGAAAGGGAAGCGCUUGCAGCCAGACUUGCCUGUAGUUGCUCAUCCGGGUUUCUACCCGGUGCACUCUUCUAUAGGCAGGCCAGCAUCAGUUUGGGCGGUUGGAUAAAGGUCUCUGUCAUGUACCUCUC